CAUAUUGAAAUGUUGGCACUCCCCGCGGUCUUUAAAAAACAUUGAGAAAACUAGAUCUUGUCCUAUUAGAAAGACUGUCUGAAGGAAAUUAAAAGCUAGGAGAAACGGGCUGUAUCUAAAUUUACCUGGAUAAUUACUAGAAAAGUUGUCUACUGGAAUCAAAGCUUUGAUCUAGUUUCUUCUAUUUCCAAAAGGAAUAUACUUUGCUUCUCAGCUGGUCUGGACCAGAUUUGCUAAAACAGAUGAAGAGGACCCUUGAGAUCCCUAGUGUCAACAGACAGAACACCGAAGCUUUGAUCUCAACGCAGAGACUGUCAUCAGUCACUGCACUUUGGAGAUGUUCCCCUUGGAAGCCCAUCAACAAAUUGGAAAAUUUACAGGGGAUAAUCUUCUCCCCCACCAGUAAGACAGCUGACUGCAACAAUAUAAGUGACCCCUGAUAUAGGAAAAUGGGUGAGACACUUACUGGCUCUCUUUUUCAGUAUGUUCAUAAAACCUGCUAUAAUUCUUAAUAAAAAUUCAGGCGGCUUAU